rnacentral:rRNA from 1 species
UGACGAACUGAUAGUCUUGAGGCAGAUAGGGGCAACUGGAACUCUUGGUGGAGCGGUGGAAUGCGUAGAUAUCAAGAGGAACGCCAGAGGCGAAGGCGAGUUGCUGGGCCUGUCCUGACGCUGAGACACGAAAGCCAGGGGAGCGAACGGGAUUAGAUACCCCGGUAGUCCUGGCCCUAAACGAUGUCCACUAGAUCGGAGGCACUCUGACGUGUUUCUGGUCGAAAUGAAAACGGUAAGUGGACCGCCUGGGGAGUACGGUCGCAAGGCUAAAACUCAAAGGAAUUGACGGGGGCUCACACAAGCGGUGGAGCAUGUUGCUUAAUUCGAUGCAACGCGAAGAACCUUAUCCUAGGCUUGACAUAUACGAAUGCCUACUGGGAAACCAGGUCGGCUGCCCUUUGGGGUGAAACGUAUACAGGUGCUGCAUGGCUGUCGUCAGCUCGUGUCGUGAGAUGUUGGGUUAAGUCCCGUAACGAGCGAAACCCUUGUCGUUAGUUGCCAGCGCGUAAUGGCGGGGACUCUAACGAGACUGCCGGUGUUAAACCGGAGGAAGGUGGGGAUGACGUCAAGUCCUCAUGGCCUUUAUGCCUAGGGCUGCAAACGUGCUACAAUGGCCGGUACAAAACGAAGCGAGACCGCGAGGUGGAGCAAAUCGUAAAAAACCGGCCCCAGUUCGGAUUGGAGUCUGCAACUCGACUCCAUGA